rnacentral:rRNA from 1 species
AGCGAACGCUGGCGGCAGGCCUAACACAUGCAAGUCGAACGGAUCCUUCGGGAUUAGUGGCGGACGGGUGAGUAACACGUGGGAACGUGCCCUUUGGUUCGGAACAACUCAGGGAAACUUGAGCUAAUACCGGAUGUGCCCUUCGGGGGAAAGAUUUAUCGCCAUUGGAGCGGCCCGCGUCUGAUUAGCUAGUUGGUGAGGUAAAGGCUCACCAAGGCGACGAUCAGUAGCUGGUCUGAGAGGAUGAUCAGCCACAUUGGGACUGAGACACGGCCCAAACUCCUACGGGAGGCAGCAGUGGGGAAUCUUGCGCAAUGGGCGAAAGCCUGACGCAGCCAUGCCGCGUGAAUGAUGAAGGUCUUAGGAUUGUAAAAUUCUUUCACCGGGGACGAUAAUGACGGUACCCGGAGAAGAAGCCCCGGCUAACUUCGUGCCAGCAGCCGCGGUAAU